rnacentral:rRNA from 1 species
GGUUAAGCGACUAAGCGUACACGGUGGAUGCCCUGGCAGUCAGAGGCGAUGAAGGACGUGCUAAUCUGCGAUAAGCGUCGGUAAGGUGAUAUGAACCGUUAUAACCGGCGAUUUCCGAAUGGGGAAACCCAGUGUGUUUCGACACACUAUCAUUAACUGAAUCCAUAGGUUAAUGAGGCGAACCGGGGGAACUGAAACAUCUAAGUACCCCGAGGAAAAGAAAUCAACCGAGAUUCCCCCAGUAGCGGCGAGCGAACGGGGAGGAGCCCAGAGCCUGAAUCAGUGUGUGUGUUAGUGGAAGCGUCUGGAAAGGCGCGCGAUACAGGGUGACAGCCCCGUACACAAAAAUGCACAUGCUGUGAGCUCGAUGAGUAGGGCGGGACACGUGGUAUCCUGUCUGAAUAUGGGGGGACCAUCCUCCAAGGCUAAAUACUCCUGACUGACCGAUAGUGAACCAGUACCGUGAGGGAAAGGCGAAAAGAACCCCGGCGAGGGGAGUGAAAAAGAACCUGAAACCGUGUACGUACAAGCAGUGGGAGCACGCUUCGGCGUGUGACUGCGUACCUUUUGUAUAAUGGGUCAGCGACUUAUAUUCUGUAGCAAGGUUAACCGAAUAGGGGAGCCGAAGGGAAACCGAGUCUUAACUGGGCGUUAAGUUGCAGGGUAUAGACCCGAAACCCGGUGAUCUAGCCAUGGGCAGGUUGAAGGUUGGGUAACACUAACUGGAGGACCGAACCGACUAAUGUUGAAAAAUUAGCGGAUGACUUGUGGCUGGGGGUGAAAGGCCAAUCAAACCGGGAGAUAGCUGGUUCUCCCCGAAAGCUAUUUAGGUAGCGCCUCGUGAAUUCAUCUCCGGGGGUAGAGCACUGUUUCGGCAAGGGGGUCAUCCCGACUUACCAACCCGAUGCAAACUGCGAAUACCGGAGAAUGUUAUCACGGGAGACACACGGCGGGUGCUAACGUCCGUCGUGAAGAGGGAAACAACCCAGACCGCCAGCUAAGGUCCCAAAGUCAUGGUUAAGUGGGAAACGAUGUGGGAAGGCCCAGACAGCCAGGAUGUUGGCUUAGAAGCAGCCAUCAUUUAAAGAAAGCGUAAUAGCUCACUGGUCGAGUCGGCCUGCGCGGAAGAUGUAACGGGGCUAAACCAUGCACCGAAGCUGCGGCAGCGACGCUGAUGCGUUGUUGGGUAGGGGAGCGUUCUGUAAGCCUGUGAAGGUGUACUGUGAGGUAUGCUGGAGGUAUCAGAAGUGCGAAUGCUGACAUAAGUAACGAUAAAGCGGGUGAAAAGCCCGCUCGCCGGAAGACCAAGGGUUCCUGUCCAACGUUAAUCGGGGCAGGGUGAGUCGACCCCUAAGGCGAGGCCGAAAGGCGUAGUCGAUGGGAAACAGGUUAAUAUUCCUGUACUUGGUGUUACUGCGAAGGGGGGACGGAGAAGGCUAUGUUGGCCGGGCGACGGUUGUCCCGGUUUAAGCGUGUAGGCUGGUUUUCCAGGCAAAUCCGGAAAAUCAAGGCUGAGGCGUGAUGACGAGGCACUACGGUGCUGAAGCAACAAAUGCCCUGCUUCCAGGAAAAGCCUCUAAGCAUCAGGUAACAUCAAAUCGUACCCCAAACCGACACAGGUGGUCAGGUAGAGAAUACCAAGGCGCUUGAGAGAACUCGGGUGAAGGAACUAGGCAAAAUGGUGCCGUAACUUCGGGAGAAGGCACGCUGAUAUGUAGGUGAAGCGACUUGCUCGUGGAGCUGAAAUCAGUCGAAGAUACCAGCUGGCUGCAACUGUUUAUUAAAAACACAGCACUGUGCAAACACGAAAGUGGACGUAUACGGUGUGACGCCUGCCCGGUGCCGGAAGGUUAAUUGAUGGGGUUAGCGCAAGCGAAGCUCUUGAUCGAAGCCCCGGUAAACGGCGGCCGUAACUAUAACGGUCCUAAGGUAGCGAAAUUCCUUGUCGGGUAAGUUCCGACCUGCACGAAUGGCGUAAUGAUGGCCAGGCUGUCUCCACCCGAGACUCAGUGAAAUUGAACUCGCUGUGAAGAUGCAGUGUACCCGCGGCAAGACGGAAAGACCCCGUGAACCUUUACUAUAGCUUGACACUGAACAUUGAGCCUUGAUGUGUAGGAUAGGUGGGAGGCUUUGAAGUGUGGACGCCAGUCUGCAUGGAGCCGACCUUGAAAUACCACCCUUUAAUGUUUGAUGUUCUAACGUUGACCCGUAAUCCGGGUUGCGGACAGUGUCUGGUGGGUAGUUUGACUGGGGCGGUCUCCUCCUAAAGAGUAACGGAGGAGCACGAAGGUUGGCUAAUCCUGGUCGGACAUCAGGAGGUUAGUGCAAUGGCAUAAGCCAGCUUGACUGCGAGCGUGACGGCGCGAGCAGGUGCGAAAGCAGGUCAUAGUGAUCCGGUGGUUCUGAAUGGAAGGGCCAUCGCUCAACGGAUAAAAGGUACUCCGGGGAUAACAGGCUGAUACCGCCCAAGAGUUCAUAUCGACGGCGGUGUUUGGCACCUCGAUGUCGGCUCAUCACAUCCUGGGGCUGAAGUAGGUCCCAAGGGUAUGGCUGUUCGCCAUUUAAAGUGGUACGCGAGCUGGGUUUAGAACGUCGUGAGACAGUUCGGUCCCUAUCUGCCGUGGGCGCUGGAGAACUGAGGGGGGCUGCUCCUAGUACGAGAGGACCGGAGUGGACGCAUCACUGGUGUUCGGGUUGUCAUGCCAAUGGCACUGCCCGGUAGCUAAAUGCGGAAGAGAUAAGUGCUGAAAGCAUCUAAGCACGAAACUUGCCCCGAGAUGAGUUCUCCCUGAC